CUAUUUGAUUUUCUUCGGAAAUGAAGAUUUUGUGACUGAGUGGCGGACGGGUGAGUAACGCGUGGGUAACCUGCCUCAUACAGGGGGAUAACAGUUGGAAACGACUGCUAAUACCGCAUAAGCGCACAGGAUCGCAUGAUCCGGUGUGAAAAACUCUGGUGGUAUGAGAUGGACCCGCGUCUGAUUAGCCAGUUGGCAGGGUAACGGCCUACCAAAGCGACGAUCAGUAGCCGACCUGAGAGGGUGACCGGCCACAUUGGGACUGAGACACGGCCCAAACUCCUACGGGAGGCAGCAGUGGGGAAUAUUGCACAAUGGGGGAAACCCUGAUGCAGCGACGCCGCGUGAGCGAAGAAGUAUUUCGGUAUGUAAAGCUCUAUCAGCAGGGAAGAAGAAUGACGGUACCUGACUAAGAAGCACCGGCUAAAUACGUGCCAGCAGCCGCGGUAAUACGUAUGGUGCAAGCGUUAUCCGGAUUUACUGGGUGUAAAGGGAGCGCAGGCGGUGCGGCAAGUCUGAUGUGAAGCCCGGGGCUCAACCCCGGUACUGCAUUGGAAACUGUCGUACUAGAGUGUCGGAGGGGUAAGUGGAAUUCCUAGUGUAGCGGUGAAAUGCGUAGAUAUUAGGAGGAA
rnacentral:rRNA from 1 species